rnacentral:rRNA from 1 species
GCGGUACAGGUGUAGCAAUACAUGCUGACGAGCGGCGGACGGGUGAGUAACGCUUGGGAAUCUGCCUGUUAGUGGGGGACAACCCGGGGAAACUCGGGCUAAUACCGCAUACGCACUACGGUGGAAAGCCGGGGACCGCAAGGCCUGGCGCUAACAGAUGAGCCCAAGUCGGAUUAGCUAGUUGGUAGGGUAACGGCCUACCAAGGCGACGAUCCGUAACUGGUCUGAGAGGACGACCAGUCACACCGGAACUGAGACACGGUCCGGACUCCUACGGGAGGCAGCAGUGGGGAAUAUUGGACAAUGGGCGAAAGCCUGAUCCAGCGACGCCGCGUGGGUGAAGAAGGCCUGCGGGUUGUAAAGCCCUUUCGGUGGGGAAGAAAAGCCUCGAGUUAACACCUCGGGGUCUUGACGUAACCCAUAGAAAAAGCACCGGCUAACUCUGUGCCAGCAGCCGCGGUAAUACAGAGGGUGCGAGCGUUAAUCGGAAUUACUGGGCGUAAAGCGCGCGUAGGCGGCUUUGCAAGUCGGGUGUGAAAUCCCCAGGCUUAACCUGGGAACUGCAUUCGAGACUGCAUUGCUAGAGUAUGGGAGAGGGAAGUGGAAUUUCCGGUGUAGCGGUGAAAUGCGUAAAUUUCGGAAGGAACAUCAGUGGCGAAAGCGACUUCUUGGACAAUACUGACGCUCAUGUGCAAAGCGUGGGGAGCAAACAGGAUUAGAUACCCUGGUAGU